UACAGGGGGUGCAAACGUUGCUCGGAAUCAUUGGGCGUAAAGCGCACGUAGGCGGUUCGUUAUGUCGGAUGCGAAAUCCCUCGGCUCAACCAAGGAAGUGCAUCCGAAACUGCUGAGCUUGAGUACUUAAGAGGAUCGCGGAAUUCCCGGUGUAGAGGUGAAAUUCGUAGAUAUCGGGAGGAACACCAGUGGCGAAGGCGGCGAUCUGGGAAGAUACUGACGCUGAGGUGCGAAAGCGUGGGGAGCAAACAGG
rnacentral:rRNA from 1 species